CAGCGCCGCGGUAAUACAGAGGGUGCGAGCGUUAAUCGGAUUUACUGGGCGUAAAGCGUGCGUAGGUGGCUGAUUAAGUCGGAUGUGAAAUCUCUGAGCUUAACUUAGGAAUUGCAUUCGAUACUGGUCAGCUAGAAUAUGGGAGAGGAUGGUAGAAUUCCAGGUGUAGCGGUGAAAUGCGUAGAGAUCUGGAGGAAUACCGAUGGCGAAGGCAGCCAUCUGGCCUAAUACUGACGCUGAGGUACGAAAGCAUGGGGAGCAAACAGGAUUAGAUACCCCUGUAGUCCCUGUCUCUUAUACA
rnacentral:rRNA from 1 species